ACAUCAUCCACCUGUUCCUUGGGCUUAAAGGGUUUCAAACCUAUUUGGAAUUGUUCUUCGACGUCUUCCACGUCGUCAGCAACAACGACAGUUUCUUUCAAUUUGAACGUCGCUCCACUUUCCACAUUUUCGGUGACGUCUUCUGCUUGUACGACCGUUUUUAGAGACGCCGAAGCUUCUUCGACCGACUGCGAUGUUUUGCGUUUGGGUUUGAUGGUCAACUUCUCUUCAACAUCUUCUACCUGUUUCUUGGGUUUAACUGGUUUCAACCCGAUCUGGAAUUGCUCUUCCACAUUCUCUCUCUCGAUUACCUUGACCGGUUUGAGUUUCAAUGUGGCACCCUGUUCAACAUCUUCAACCGCGACAGGUUCUACUUUGCGGAUGGAAGCUACAUUAACUGAAUCUUCGAUCUCUUCUACUUGGUAGUUGGGCUACAUCCACCACCAAAUCUUCCAGGCUACUAGCGGCCGUCAUCAUGGUGUCUUCAAUCAAUGUCGACGUUGAGGAAGACAAACUCUGGAAGCUAUCGUCACUGAAACUGAUCUCUUCCUCUGGUGCAAUGGUAAAUACCUGUUCAGCAACAUCGACCACCUCUUUGACGACUGGAACAUCCUGAGCGGAAGCUUGAACUGCGACCGGCAACCGAUCUAAAUCGCCAACCUUUUCCGUAAACUGCACCUGAGCCACGCUGAUCUGUUCACUCGGCUGAGGUAAAGUACGACUGGCCUUCCUUGUUUUUGGUUUCGCUUCCGGAAGGAGUUCCGCUUCGCUGGAGCCUUCCACAACGUGCGAAACAGUGACGGCUCUCUGCUCCGUAACGGUGACGACAGGUUUCUCGGUCUCGACAACCUUGGCCGUCUGAGGUACAGUGUAGUCCAUCACAAUGUUUUGAGUGACGACGGCCGUUUCCACUUCGGUUUGGCUCUGUCCAGCAGUGAAAUCUUCCAUCGGAGCUUCUUUGAAGGCCAGCUGAACGCCACUGACACUAGUUUCCAUUUUCUCGGGAAUCUCAACCACUGUUGCUUCAGUAGGGAUUGGAACAUCAAGUGUUUCUUUAUAUUCUGGAACCGGAGAACUUGUCAAAGAAUCCGAAAUAAUAGGCGAAGGUUCUUUUUUAAAGGUCUCUCUUUCAUAAAAGGAUUUCUCGAUUUCUUGAGCGCACUUGACUCAAUUGAUAUUGAGCUAGUCGAUUGGGGUGCAUCGGUUGGAUAUUUGAUCGAUUCUGAUGAUUCGCUAACUCUUUUCAAUUUGGGAGUCAAGCGAAUGGUGGCCUGUGACGUCUGAACUUCCCGGAUGGGCGACGUCUCUUCCGACACCAAGACUGGACUGCUGCCCGUGCAAACGAUAAUUGAGGUACGUCGGUGAGCUUCAUCGGGAGGAACGACCUCCACGCUACUGACGUCGUAUUCGCCCACAAUAUCCUGCGCUUCUUGCCCCGCCAGAGGUUGAACGAUCCAGCUGAACUGCUCCACUUUAGCUGUGCUGGAUUGACCAUCAUCGGCUACCUGGUCGUCGUUCACCUUAUUAGAAGAAACGGCCAUCACCGGGCUGUCGUCCGGGUACGUUGUCUCCAUUUCUUCUAUGCUAACGCUCGUCUCACUUGGCGCUUCAUGCGAGAUCACAAACACGCCCGGCUGAUCCUCUAGCUGGAUCGGAAUGAAUCGCUCUUUCGGCACCUCAGCCGCUACCGAUUCCUCGUCCGGAAGGGAAAUGAUGGGAACACUUUCUUCCACUCCACUCGCAGACGGUGACGAAGAUUCGCUCUCAAACAUUUCACUGAUUCUCAAAUCAGACAACUGUUUGAUCAGCGGUUGGGGCGUCUUUGAGACGUCCGUUUUAAUUUCUUGGACAACCUGUUUUUUAUUCCCGGAUUCUGUUACUAUAGUGAUCGUUUUCUCGACGGAUGAAACAUGCCCUUUCGAUUUAACGCUGACCUGACUGCUGCGAAUUUCGAACAAAAUCGGUUUUUCUUUAGUUGCGCUCGCUGACGGAGUUGGUAACUCUACUACAAUAUCAGGUGUUUGUUCUAUUCGAACGGUGGUAUCGACAAGAGGCCUGCUAGUCUGAUCGACUUGAGAUGUUAAACGCAAAUUUCCUAAGACUAGAGAAGCAAUUUUGUCUGAUUGUUGUGGUGAUUCGGGUCUAUUAACAACUGCCAAUUCGGGACAAGGGGUAGGAUGAAAGGUUGGCUGUGAGGUUUGAUCGUCUGUAUCCGCUGGAUGAAGUCGAAUAUCGUGUGUUGUGGUCGCACUGAGUUGUGUUGGUGACGGUGUCAUGUGGAGUGUCGUGUUGUACGUGUCCGGUGCUGCAGAUUCUAGAGAAAUUAACACGUCGAAUACUACAUCAACGAUCAAAACGCUUCUAAUUCGCUCCGAUUAUAAAAAUCGGAUGGUCGCCAUUUCAAAAAGUGUAAAAAAAAACAAUUUUUUCGAUUUGUUCAAAUAAAAAGUUCGGAAAUAAUAUGUGCUCAAACUGAAAGAAAUAAAAAGCGCAUACUAAUGAAGAAGAAAUAAAUCAAAAGUAUUCGAAACAAGCCCGUGAUCAAUUGGAAUGCAUUUGUUUUUUUAGGCUGAUAAUAACCCUUGCUGUUGGUGUAACGUGUUAUAUGUUUGAAUAGAUUGUAACAUGUU